CAGUAGCCGCGGUAAUACAGAGGGUGCGAGCGUUAAUCGGAUUUACUGGGCGUAAAGCGUGCGUAGGCGGCUUCUUAAGUCGGAUGUGAAAUCCCUGAGCUUAACUUGGGAAUUGCAUUCGAUACUGGUUAGCUAGAGUGUGGGAGAGGAUGGUAGAAUUCCAGGUGUAGCGGUGAAAUGCGUAGAGAUCUGGAGGAAUACCGAUGGCGAAGGCAGCCAUCUGGCCUAACACUGACGCUGAGGUACGAAAGCAUGGGGAGCAAACAGGAUUAGAUACCCGAGUAGUCCCUGUCUCUUAUAC
rnacentral:rRNA from 1 species